rnacentral:tRNA from 8 species
GCGGAUGUGGCGGAACUGGUAGACGCACUGGGUUUAGGUUCCAGCGCUGCAAGGCGUGGAGGUUCGAGUCCUCUCAUCCGCACCA